UACGUAGGGUGCGAGCGUUAAUCGGAAUCACUGGGCGUAAAGCGCGUGUAGGCGGCUUCUUAAGUCUGGUGUGAAAGCCCGGGGCUUACCCCCGGAAGGGCACUGGAGACUGGGAAGCUAGAGUACCGGAGAGGAGGGUGGAAUUCCUGGUGUAGCGGUGAAAUGCGUAGAUAUCAGGAGGAACACCGGUGGCGAAGGCGGCCCUCUGGACGGAUACUGACGCUGAGACGCGAAAGCGUGGGGAGCAAACAGG
rnacentral:rRNA from 1 species